UCUCCACUGCUCCAGGCUCCAGCACGGCAGCUGGCAGCACCGGCCGUCCGGCCGUCGGCCGAGCAGGCGAGCAGAUCAAGGCCGUCCUCCUGUCCCGGCGUCCCGCGGCCCCGGCGACCGGCGUCCACGUCGUCCCCACCUUCGCCGAGUGAUUGAAUUAUGAAGAGGGAUGGAGAUAUUGCAUCUCUUUUUCGAAAGCAUGCAGCAAAGAGGCAAAAUGUGAAUCCUAUGCCACCUCCGGAAGCAACUCAAGAACAAGAGAGAGUAAUUGAAGAAAAUGUGAAUCCUAUGCCAUCUCCACUGCCACCACAUCCGGAGGCAACUCAAGAGCAAGAGGAAGAGAGAGUAAUUGAAGAAAUUGUGAAUCCUACGCCACCUCCACCGCCACCACCGCUACCACCAUCGGCUCCACCAACUUAUGACGUGAGUCGUCUUCCAAAUGAUCCAGCAAUUGAUGAUAAAAUUGAGAAGUGGAG